CGCCUUGGUGGAGCAGCCUCCCUGCGGCACGGACGGCCGUUCCGAUAUGGGGAGCAGCCUGGUGCGCGGCUGCCGGCGGCCGGCCGAUGACGCCGAUGACGCCGACGACUGGCGUGAUGACGCCGAGGACCUUCCCGAGAACCAGCUGGUCGUGCCGGAGCCGCUCACCGCAGAGGACAAGGUGCGCCUCCGACAGACCUGGAACGCCCUCGAGUCGGAUCCCGCCGCUGUCGGCAUUAUCAUGUUCACCAGAUUGUUCGAGGCAUAUCCAGACAUGAAAGAGGACAUUUCCGGCUUUUAGAAACGUCGAAAUCGACCAGUUGAAGACGUCUCACGAGCUCCGAAAUCACUCAUCCCGGGUGAUGGGUUUCGUGAACAAAGUGAUCACUCGACUAGACUCGGAAGAGCAAUGCGCUAAAAUAGCCAGGGAGCUGUGCUGUCGACAUGUCACCUAUGGCGCGCUGCCCUACCAAAUGACGGCUCUCGGCCAGCAGUUUAUAUUCGUCAUUCGAGGAUCACUCCUGAAACAAGGCCUGUGGAAUAUGGAGACACAACUCAGUUGGGAGAAGUUAUUCCAGUGGAUCAGCUGCGCGCACGCCCAGGCCAUCUCCGACGCGCGCGUGAGGGACUCAGCCUCCCCUCCGCGAAAGGUCGCGCGAGGGGAGUCAUCGUCGACCCGGCGACGCACCGAGAAAGUCAUCACCAGCGUCCUAUAGUUCAGCGUCUCAGCAGCAGCCGAGCGCCGCUCGCGGCGGGCAGCGCGGCUCCCAACAGCUCCGCCAAGAUAAUGACCUCAUCUGAGCCACCACGGCCGGGCGAGCCGGUUGGAGGCGGCUGUGGGCCGGUCGGAUAAGAGUCCUUCACCUCACCCCCUCGAGGAGAGCCCACGUCAAGGGGGGGGGGGGCUGCUCGUCAGGUCGCUCGACGUCGAUAGCCGCCGAGUCGAUGGGCCCGUGUUUAUCGCAUUUAGAGGGCGUGCAGCCGUCAGUACGUCGAUUGCUGAGAACCCCCGAUACUGACGAGCCGGCGAACGACGAUAACCGUAGGCUUAGUGCCGGAUUGGAUCUGUGGUAGUCGUUAUUUUGAUGUUGAACCUAUACGUAGGCAGUGACUGAGUUGCUAUCUAGCAUGAAUCUAUCUUUCUAACAGAAUGCAUCUGUCUGUUGAUCAUGAAGUCAUUCUCAAGCCUCACAUAUUUUUCUUACGGCAUACUUGUUUCACUUAGAGGCCAGUCGAUGUCAGCGCUUGUAAUGUAACGUCAUGUCAUAUUGGAGACUGAUGUAAAUCGUAAACAAAUACAGGAGCAAAA